GACGUAGGGGGCGAGCGUUGUCCGGAUUUACUGGGCGUAAAGCGCGUGCAGGCGGUCCGUUAAGUCUCGUGUGAAAUCCUCCGGCUCAACCGGAGAACGCCGCGGGAUACUGACGAGCUUGAGGGCGGUAGAGGGUGAUGGAAUUCCCGGUGGAGCGGUGAAAUGCGUAGAUAUCGGGAGGAACGCCAGUGGCGAAGGCGGUCACCUGGGCCGUCCCUGACGCUGAGACGCGAAAGCUGGGGGAGCGAACGGG
rnacentral:rRNA from 1 species